UUGUCGCCAGCCUAAGAAGCAGAUCUAGGCGGGGAUGGCGAUGGCUGACUCCACCUCCCGGUUAGUCUCUCGUCUCCUCUAUCUUACUACUCUAGAUCUCAAUCUAGUUGUUCACUUUUUUUUUUGCUACUCUUCCUCUACCUUCAUCUCAUCGACUCAAUUUUGUUGCUUUGUUCUAGGUCAAGGUAUCGGUUAUUAUUUCCUCUAAUCCACUUGGUCUUAUUGAUUUGAUCUAGAUCAAGGUAUAUGUUCUACUACUCUAGAUCUCAAUCUAGUUGUUCUCUUUGUUUUGCUACUCCUUCCUCCAAUCGACUGUAUCUUGUUGCUU
rnacentral:lncRNA from 1 species